rnacentral:tRNA from 1 species
GGGAUUGUGGCUCAGAGGUAGAGCGCUCAUUUCACAGGUGUGAGGCAUUGGGUUCAAUCCUCAGUACCA